UUCGUGCGGAAUUUCUUGCAUAUGUCACCGAGUCCCUCACUAGAGGGCCGGGUAUGUAUAUUAUAUAUAUGAUUGGUUAUGAGGAUGGUUAUAAUGAUGAUGAUGACGGAGAUGAUGUGAUGACUAUUUCACCGAGUCCCUCACUAGAGGGCCGGGUACGUAUGAUGUAUAUAUAUGAUGACUAUUUUUCCGAGUCCCUUACUAGAGAAGCUGGGCACCUUAUAUGUUAAAGAUAUGCAUGAUUUUCACUUAAAAGGUACGUGUGUAGUGAUAUCUUGUUUCGACUUGUCAUGUUGGUAUCCUGUCAUCUUUACCUUAUGCUUUACAUACUCAGUUUAUUGUCCGUACUGACCCCCUUACCUCGGGGGGCUGUGUUGCAUACCCGCAGGCGUAGACGCACAGUUCGGUGAUCCUCCCGUCUAGGAUAUCUACUCUGCUGAUUGGGAGAGCUCCACUAUUCCGGAGCCUAGUAAUUUUGGUACAUAACUUUUUGUGUAGUCUUUUGCUUGUCUAUGGGUAUGGCGGGGCCCUGUCCCGUCGAGUCUCAUGUCGAGUUUCACUUCUAUACUCUUAGAGGUCUGUAGACAUUAUGUGGGUUGCAUACAUAUGUUUUGGAUAAUUGUCUGGACAUGGUUUGUUUGGGAUGUCCGCUUGUACAGGGGAAACCUUGUCGGCUGCAUACAUCAUUGUGUAUUGUGUGCUUUGGAUAGUGGCAGCCUUGUCGGCUCGCGUGUGUUGUUACGGUUGAAUGGUUAUGACUCCUUACGAGACAGGUCCACUUUAUAUAUAUAUGGCGUUGGGGUUUUCUUGAUUUGAUUAAAUUCCAUAUUGUCUUAGUUUUAGUUGGUUGUACUUAGCAGGUUUGUAUGUGAGUGUCCAAAACGGGCACUAGUCACGGCCCAUCGGGUAGGGUUGUGACAACGAGUGGUAUAAGAGAGGUUCUUCCUCGGAAGUGUCUACAGAUCGUGUCUAGUACAGUAUUUUUUAUCGGUGUGUUGUGCAGCACAUUUAUAAAUAGGAAGCUACAGGACAUUUAGGAUGUCAUCCUUUCUUCUUAUUCUAGAUCGUGCGAUAGAUCUAUAUUAAUAGGAUAGUCCCUCUCUAACGAAUCCCUGUGCUUUCAGCUAUGCCUCCAAAGAAAGCGACAGCUUCCCAGAAGGGAAAAUCGGUAGCAGAAGGUACUAGUAAGACCUGGAGAGUUACUAGGGCCAGUGCCCAGUCUAUGCCUGGUAUUGUGCUCUAGUCGAAGAGCUCUGCUACACCGCCACCGCCAAAGGAUCUUAGAGCAGCAGCAACUCCAGUUCGGGGGACACCACCACCAUCCCCCGAGGCCCUAGCACCUGAACCUCCUGUUCCUCAGCAAGGUGCGGAGGAUAGGGCCAUGAGAGAUGCGGUUCAGUUGCUGACUAGAUUAGUGGCAAGUGAGGCUCGAAGGCAUGGACUAGGAGUUGAUCAUGCAGACAGAUCUGAUAGCUUAAGGGCUCGUGACUUCUUAAGUUGUAAUCCUCCAAAGUUCUUUGGGUCAAUGCCCAGGAUGAUCCGCAAGAGUUUAUUCGUCCGAUGCAGCGUACAUUGAGGAUAAUCAAGGCUUCGGAGACUGAGUGUGUUGAGUUAGCUACGUAUCGUUUGCGGGAUAUAGCUAUUAAUUGGUAUGAGUGUUGGGAGUUAUCUAGGGGUGAGGGUGCUCAUCCAGUGGUAUGGGAUAAAUUUGUAGAGGCUUUCCAAGGCCACUUCCUGCCUCCAGAGAUGAAGUGAGCUAGAGUCGAUAGAUUCUUGCAUUUGAGGCAGAAUAGCAGGAGCGUUCGAGAGUAUAACCUCAAGUUUGAUUCAUUGGCUAGGCAUGCGCCUACUAUUGUGGCUGAUAUGGCAGACAGGGUACAUCGUUACAUGAUGGGGUAGGAUCGUUAUCUGAUUGACGGUUGUAUGGCAGUGACUCUUCAUCUAGGUAUGGACAUUGCUCGGGUGCAGGAAUAUGCACAGGGGGUAGAGGAUAGGCACAGAGGACAUAAGCCAGAUAGAGAUUAUAAUAGAGGCCAGCAUAAGAGGGCUAGAUCAGCAGGUUAUCCUGACGAGUUUCGAGGCGAGUAGUCUCAACAGCAUGUUAGAUUUUUUUCCCAGCCAGCACAGAGUGCACCCCCACGUUCCAUGGGUAGGGGGUUCGAUCGUACGGGAUAUUCGGAAGCUGGUCAGAGCUCAUAGGGCAUUAGGGUCACAGAUGGGCAGGGGUUUGAGCCAGUCGAGGCCACCUUUGCCUCGGUGUUCUCGCUGUGGUAGGUCCCAUCCUGGGAAUGUCGUUGGGCUACAGGUGCGUGUUUUUCUUGCAACCGUCAGGGUCAUACUAUGAGGAAAUGUAACCUUAGAGGUAGUUCAGGUGGUAUGGCUCAGCCUACUGGGUCCGUGGAUGGUUCAUCUUCUUCUGUGGUUAUGCACCCUACGGGGCAGGGUAUUCAGGCACCAACAGGUCGUGGUAGAGGACGUGGUGGAGCUUCCAGUUCUAGCGGUCCCUCGAACCGUAUAUAUGCUUUGACUAGUAGGCAGGAUCAGGAGGCGUCACCUAAUGUGAUCACAGGUAUAUUAUCAUUAUUCUCCCGAUGUGUGUAUGCAUUGAUAGACCUAGGUUCCACCUUAUCAUUUAUAUCUCCCUUCGUUGCUAGUAGGAUUGGAAUAGAGUCUGAGUUGAUAUAACCAUUUGAGGUAGCUACACCUAUAGGAGAUCUGUCAUAGCUACGCGAGUAUAUAAGAAUUGUUCAGUGGUUAUAUAUAGUCAUCGUACCGUAGCAGAUCUAAUAGAGUUAAAUAUGAUUGAGUUUGAUAUUAUCAUGGGCAUGGAUUGGUUGGCUGCUUGUUAUGCUAAUGUUGAUUGCAGAGGAAAGGUAGUUCGAUUUCAAUUUCUAGGGGAAUCGAUUAUAGAGUGUAAGGAGAGUACAGUAUCACCGAAAGGUAAGUUCAUUUCAUACCUUAAGGACAGGAAGAUGGUUAGAAAAGUCUAUAUUUAUCAUCUGGUUCGGGUGCAUGACAUAAAGGCAGAGGCACCGACUCUUCAAUCAGUCUCGGUAGUUAAUUAAUUUCUCGAUGUAUUCCUAGAGGAACUUCCAGGCCUUCCUCCAGAACGAGAGAUAGAGUUUACAAUAGAUGUACUGACAGAUACCCAGCCUAUAUCUAUACCUCCUUAUAGAAUGGAACCUGCUGAGUUGAAAGAAUUGAAAGAGAAAUUUAGAGAUUUGUUAGAAAAGGGCUUCAUCAGGCCUAGUACGUCACCUUGGGGAGCACCAGUAAUGUUUGUGAGGAAGAAGGAUGGGUCGCUGCGGAUGUGUAUUGAUUAUAGGCAGCUGAACAAAGUAACAGUUAAGAACAGGUAUCCCCUCCCAAGGAUUGAUAAUCUAUUUGACCAGUUGCAGGGUGCUAAGUGUUUUUCAAAGACAAACUUGCGGUCAGGUUAUCAUCAGGUGCGGGUAAGGGAGGCAGAUAUUCCAAAGACGACAUUCCGGACCCGAUACGGGCAUUAUGAGUUUAGAGUGCUGUCUUUUGGGCUGACUAAUGCUCCAGCGGUGUUUAUGGAUUAAAUAAAAAGAGUGUUUAAACCAUUCUUUGAUAUGUUGUUAUUGUAUUUAUAGACGAUAUUCUGGUCUAUUCACGUUCAGAAGAGGAGCAUGCAGACCAUUUAAGGACGGUACUUAGGGUGCUUCAGCACCAGAAGUUGUAUGCUAAGUUUUCUAAGUGCGAGUUCUGGUUGACUUCAGUGGCAUUCUUGGGGCAUAUUAUUUGAGCUGAUGGUAUUCGGGUGGAAACGCAGAAGAUUGAGGCGGUAAAGACUUGGCCCAGACCUACGACACCUACUGAGGUACGCAGCUUUCUGGGGUUAGCAGGAUAUUACAGGAGAUUCGUAGAAAAGUUUGCCUCAAUUUCAGCGCCUUUGACAAGGCUAACUCAAAAGGCAGCUAAGUUCCUGUGGACUUAUGCUUGUGAGCGAAGCUUCCAGCUAUUGAAAGACAAAUUGACUACAGCUCCAGUUCUAACUCUUCCGGAGGGACCAGACGGCUAUGUUAUUUAUUGUGAUGCUUCGGGUGUUGGGCUAGGAUGUGUUUUGAUGCAGCAUGGCGAAGUUAUAGACUAUGCUUCCCGACAGCUUAAGAAGCAUCAAAAGAAUUAUCCUACUCACGAUCUGGAGUUAGCAGUCGUGGUUCAUGCCUUGAAGAUGUGGAGGCAUUAUUUAUAUGGUGUCCAUGUAGACAUCUAUAUAGAUCAUAAGAGUCUCUAAUAAAUCUUUAAACAGAAGGAGCUGAAUUUAUGACAGAGACGGUGGUUAGAGUUGCUAAAGGAUUAUGAUAUUGAUAUUUUAUAUCAUCCAGUGAAAGCAAAUGUUGUCGCGGAUGCUCUUAGCCGUAAGUUCAUGGGUAGCUUGACAGAUGUACAACCAGAAAGGAGGGAGAUGGUUCGGGAGAUUCAGCGCCUAUCCAGCCUUGGAGUCCGUCUGGCUAAUUCAGAAGAUAGUGGAGUUUCUAUUCGAGAGGUUGCUGAGUCCUCAAUCAUAGAUGAGGUAAAGAGACACCAAUACGAGGACCCUAUUCUGGCACAGUAUAGAGAUGCAGCUCUUCAAAAGGAAAAGACACCAUUUAAGGUUGCACCUGACGGAGUGUUACGAUAUGGAGGCAGAUUGUGUGUACCCGAUAUUACGGGGCUACGACGGUAGGUUAUGGGAGAGGCACACUCUGCCCGUUAUUCUAUUCACCCAGGGUCAAUGAAAACGUAUCAUGACCUCAGAUGCUUAUACUGGUGAUAUGACCAUGAAAAAGGACAUAGCGGAGUUUGUUGCUCAGCGCCCGAAUUGUCAACAAGUCAAGAUCGAACAUCAAAAGCCUGGUGGAUUAUUACAGGAGAUAGAGAUCCCGACUUGGAAAUAGGAGAUGAUUAAUAUGGACUUCAUUACAAGCUUACCUCGCACUCAACGGAAGUAUGACUCUAUAUGGAUAUUAUAGAUAGGCUGAUGAAAUUGGCCCAUUUUCUUCCAGUCAGGACUACUUAUUCGGCUGAAGAUUAUGCGAGGUUAUAUGUCAGGGAGAGUGCGAGGUUAUAUGUCAGGGAGAUAGUGAGAGUUCAUGGGGUUCCCAUGUCCAUUAUAUCAGACAGAGGAGCUCAAUUUAUAGCCAACUUUUGGAGAUCGAUUCAGAUGGGAUUGGGGACACAGGUGAACCUUAGCACAGUAUUUCACCCUCAGACUGAUGGGCAGGCUGAGCGUACUAUUCAGACAUUAGAAGAUAUGUUGCAGGCCUGUAUUAUUGACUUCAAAGGUAGCUGGGAUGACCACUUGCCGCUCAUUGAGUUUGCCUAUAAUAAUAGCUAGCAUUCUAGUAUCCAGAUGGCAUCGUACGAGGCCUUAUAUGGGAGGAAGUCCAACUCACCUGUUGGUUGGUUUGAUGUUGGCGAUACUAAGUUAAAAGGCCCGGAUAUGAUUCAGCAAGUUGUUGACAAGGUGAAGCUUAUUCAAGAAAGAUUAUUAGCAGCCCAGAGUCGACAGAAGUCAUAUACAGAUAAUCGACGUCGAGAUUUGGAGUUUCAGAUUGGUGACUGGGUAUUUCUUAAGGUAUCACCCAUGAAGGGUGUGAUGAGAUUCGGCAGGAAGGGGAAGAUCACUUCGAGAUACAUAAGGCCUUAUCAGAUUGUUUGUAGGAUAGGCAAGGUUUCCUAUGAGUUGGAUCUACCAUCUGAUUUGGAGACGGUACAUCCAGUCUUCCAUGUAUCGAUGCUACGUAAAUGUAUUGUUAUCCUUCUAGAGUAUUCCCUUUAGAUGAUGUUCAGGUAAUAGAGGAGUUGUAAUAUGAAGAGAAACCCGUAGCUAUACUUGAUCGCCACGUUAGAAGGUUACAUACUAAGGAUGUGGCUUCCGUCAAAGUGUAAUGGCAAAAUAAUAAUAAAAAGGAGAUGAUUUGGGAAGUGGAAGACGAAAUGAAGAAUAAGUAUCCUUACUUGUUCCCCGUACCUGCAGGUAAUUCAAUUCCUAGCUUGACUAUAUUGAUUGAUAAACGAGAUUAUGUAGUAAGUUGUGACUCUGUGAGACAUCUGUAAGUUACGAAAUGCAGGUUGAUAGUUAUAAUUGUUAGACAGACCUCGCUGGAAUUUUUUCUGUAAGACGCUAACUUAACAUUCGAGGACGAAUGUUCCUAAAGAGGGGAAAAUGUUAUGCCUCGUAUUUUUAUACGUAGUGCGCGUCAUGAACUAGUAGAUGUAAGUCCGAGGAAUGAGAUUUUAUUUUAAGUUCCAAGUGAUUAAAGAAAUAUUAGACAAGGAUGUUAAUUACAAAGUGAUAUUAAGUAUGAUUUGGCUAAUGUAAGUGCCAUUAACUUUAAGUGAGAGAUUAAUUAGUGGCUGAUUAGGAUUAAAUUAAUCUAGUGGGCCCCACCACUCAAGGCAAAUUAAAAGAAAUUAGAUUGGGAGCUGGCCUUAGUGGGGCACGUGUAGAGGGUGGCUGCCUCCACUUCAUAUUAUAAAUGAGGUAGUGAAAUGCAUUUAAAGCAUAUCAUAUUUUUCACCACUUGGCUUAGGCAGCCAUGGAAAUGGAGAAAACCAACCAUGCAACUCUUGACCAGCAGCUGCAAAUAAUUUGGUUAGUAAUCUCUUUGCUUGGUGUGUUAGUUCCUUAGAAUGCCUUUGUUAAUUAGUCAUUAGUGUUAAGAAGGGGGCGUGACCAGUAGCUUAGGAAAUUUUUUUUAGUUAUUGAAUGUGUAAAGUAUGAACGGAAACCAUAAUCGGAUUAUUAGUGGUGUCAUGUUAGUGUUUGGGCUGUUUUGAUUAAAGCAAACUGCGGGAAUUCUAUUUUGGUGUUAUGUAUAUGUUAAUGUGAUUAUGGGUAUAUACUCUAAAGGAUGAAUACGAUAAGGUAGGUGUGUUACGAACUAUAAAAUGAGUUAUCGCUCGUUGUGUCGUUGCUUCGUUACUAUGGUUGUCGAGACGGAACUUUUUUUUGGGUGGGGGGGUUGUUUAAUAUGAUUCAUUGGGUUAUAUGCGUUAUUGGUAUUGCUGUGGAUAAUUUGGGUUGGUGUCGGAUUGGGGCGAAGUAAGGAAAAUAGGGGAAGUGCUACCGAAUUUUCGUUAGAUUGUUAGCUAGCUUACAAUAAGUAGUAAAGCGCGACGUUUAUCUAAUUGUGGCACGAUUGUUUCUUGUUAUAGAUUAAUAGCUUGAGUAGUAAAUAUUGGACGUGCGGCUCGACUAUACGGUAUGUAACGCUAUCCUUUCUUUCGUUGUUUGACAUGACUUUUAAAAAUGAGCGAAUAAUGGACAGGUUUGAUACUUACUUCUACAGCGUCUAGGUGACGUAUAUUCUUGUUUCCACAACUAAUCCUCUAUGUAUCGGCUAUGUAUAAGUCUAUGGUGAUAUCUCAUAUCUAUGGUAGUGCUUCUUAGAGUCAUUGAGGUUUUACAUUUUCAUAUCGUAUUAAAGGUUCAUAAUCUUGAUAAAAUGUUUAUCUUUGGUAAUACUCCUUAUUGGUUCACGUUGAUUGUUCUGUUGAGUUAUAAGAAAUGACUUUAAUUGCAUAUGGUUGCUCAUAAUAUUCUGCUCGUGCAUAGAGUCAUUUAUCAUUUCACCGAGUCCCGGGCCGGGUAAUGUUCGUGCGGAGUUUCUUGCAUAUGUCGUCGAGUCUCUCACUAGAGGGUCGGGUAUGUAUAUUAUAUAUAUGAUUGGUGAUGUGGAUGGUUAUGAUGAUGAUGAUGACGGAGAUGAUGUGAUGACUAUUUCACCGAGUCCCUCAAUAGAGGGUCGGGUACGUAUGAUGUAUAUAUAUGAUGAUUAUUUUGUCGAGUCCCUUACUAGGGACGUUGGGCACCUUAUAUGUUAAAGAUAUGCAUGAUUUUCACUUAAAAGGUACAUGUCUAGCGAUAUCUUGUUUCGACUUAUCAUGUUGGUAUCCUGUCAUCUUUACCUUAUGCUUUACAUACUCAGUACAUUGUCCGUACUGACCCCCUUUCUCGGGGGGCUUGCGUUUCAUGCCCGCAGGUGUAGACGCACAGUUCGGUGAUCCUCCCGCCUAGGAUAUCUACUCUACUGAUUGGGAG
rnacentral:lncRNA from 1 species